rnacentral:pre_miRNA from 16 species
GUAAAUCAUCCAUCGCCCUACUCUUCGCAUCUCAUCAUAGUUUCACGGCGGCUUUCGAUGAGAUCGUUCAGUACGGCAAUGGAGAGAGAGCAGAU